UUGUUACAGCUAGAGUUAAAUUUUAUUAAUGAACUGUUAGCAAUAGCUGUUAUCUAUGUGAAAUUACUAUUUACCGUUUUAAACAUACCCUUCUACCAUCACCGACUUUUCUUAUUUGCCCUUAAAUUAGGGGUACAAAAUAUAUUCUUAUUUUUGGUAUUUUCAAAUACAACCUUCUACCAUCAUCAACAUUUCUUAUUUGCCCUCAACUUAAGAACAAAAAAGGUAUUUUGAUUUUUUAACUCUAGUAGAUAUUUAACUCAUAUUUAACCUGAGUUAAUUUAAUGGAUGGUAAAUGCAGGGGUAUUUUGGAAUAACGGAGGAACAUAUGAGUGGUAUAUUCGAAAGAAAAAAAAAAGUAGGGGUAAAUGAGAUAUUUGCGAAGUUUUGAGUGGUAUAUAUGCAAUUAUCCCUUAUAUAUAAUGCUUAAGAGGGUUAGAGGCUGGAGAGAGUAUGGCUGUGAGAGAGUGCCUUCUUUGACGAAGCCGUAUCGAGAGAGAAAGUCAUGAUUGCAUGCACAUAGUGGAUGGGUGCAUCCAACGAGAGAAGUCUUAUUUUAGGUUUAUAGAAGACGAGGGCAGGGUAGGAGAGAUUCAGAAAAAGGACUCGGAUUGCAGCUACUCUAUGCAGAAAAGAAGUAAGGUGUAAUAUUCUCUUAUUUAAUAAAAGGGCAAAAUAGUAAUUUUAUAUAGAUAACAGCUAUUGCUAACAGAAUUUAACUUUAGGGCUAUAUUGAAAUAGGUUGGAACGUAAAAAGAGUAGUCAAAAAUUUUUUAGGAAUAUAUAAGCAAUUGCCCCUAUAUAUAAUUCUCUACUGAAACGUAACUCAAUCCUAGUAUAAUUAGGAUUUCUACUCCAAUAAAUAUUUAAAUCUUAAUUGAUUUAUCUCCAAUAUAUUUAAAUAUUUAUCCUAAUCUUGUUAGAUUUACACUGUAAUUAAUAUUUAAACCUUAAUUUAUGCUUAGGGGUGUAAUGUGGGCCAUGCUGGGCCGGACGACCCACUUUCACCCUGUCCAAACCGGGCCAAAGGUCAGCCCAGCUCGGUCCGGAAAAAUUUCGGGCCGUGCCGUGCCGGGCCAAACUUCAUGGAUGCCCGGCCCAGCACAGCCCUCGGACCCAGAUGGCAAUAGGCCGUGCUGGGCUGGGCCGGACUCCGUGCCAGCCCUUAAUUUUUUAAAUUUAUUAAAAAUAUUUAAAUUUUUUUAAAAAAUAAAACAAUUUUUUUCGCCUAAUUUGUUAGAUAAAAAAAAUUUAGAUUAUUUAUAAAGUAACAAAAUUUAAAAUUAUUUUAAAUUUUAUAAAAGUUUUGACAUUUUUUUAAAAUUUUUUUUCCAAAAGAUGGGCCCACCUCCCAAUAAGGGCCUAAGGCCUAGGGCUCUAGGUCUUUUUUUUUUCUCUACCUUGAGAGUUGGGGAGCCAGGUUGGCUCCCUAUUCCUAAGGUCCCUAGCUACUAAAGGCCCACAAGGCCAGGCCAGGCCGUGCCAUGCCGGGCCACGGGCCAAGCUCCUGGCCUCACACCGCCCAGGCCCAUAACGGGCCAUGUCGUGUCGGGCUUACGGGCCUUGGGGGACCGGCCCAACACAACCUGGAGAGCCAAGCCAGCUCGUCACAGCACAGAUGCUACAGUAGCCGUGUUGGGCCACGGGCGGCACGUGGGCCACCCGGCCCAUUUUACACCCCUAUACAUGCUUCGAUCAUGCGUGGGCCUUGUGGGGCCUAAUAUAUGUAGGCCUCUCUCACAUUCUCUUUUACUCUUUCACUCUUUCUGGAAGGAAAAAGUCUAAAAUGUGCCAGUCAUAUUGUUGACGUGAUAUAUUCGGCCAAUCAAAAUGAAUCCGUGGGAUUUACCUACCCAUCAUGAUUUUUAGAAAUAUAGUGUGACUGCCAUGCAGUAGACUUCCUACUUAAGAGGAUAAAGAAGUGGGAGGAGAGUGGAAGAAAGUAUUGUUUGCAUCUGGUGGUGUAGCAUUUCUAUAUGCCAUUCUAAGGUUUAUUUUCCUAAGUUAGUCCUUUCAAAAAUAAAAUUUGGUAUCUAGUUUCAUUGGAGUUUUAUUUGGAUAACUAACCUUCUAAUUCCUGACAUCAAUGCCACGUCAGCAUUAUUUUAAAAAAUGGGUAAGAGUAUGUGCAACUAAUCUGAAAUUUAAGUCAUUUGGUAAUAACUAUCUAAUCUUAAAAAAAAAUUGAUUUUUCUAUCUAACCUUUCAUUUUAUUUGAUUUUGGUUGUUUAUUAGUGUUGGAAAACUAUUGUGUGCACCUGGUGCAUUUAUAUAUUCACACACCACACAUUUUUUCAAUAUUUAUUUUAUCUGAUUGUUCAAUCUCUAUCAUUCAAUGAGUUGGAGUUUUUAAUAGUUUAGAAUUAAGUAAUUGAACCGACUGUCCCUAGAGCAAGUGGCAAAGGGCUUGGUGGUUGGUACCCGAGACACAAGUUCGAAUCCUAGUUGAUUCACAUUUUUAGCUAAGUUUAUUUCUAAAUAAAAUAAACAAAGCGGAUAGUGUGCUACCUACUUUCAAAAAAAAAAAAAAAACAAAAAAGAAUUAAGCGAUUGAAUGGAUAGUAGGAGAUGCAUUUUUAAAAAAAUUAGAUAUGGUGUGCAAAUAUCUGGGUGCACUAGAUACGCAAAAGUACUUACGAAUCAAACUAUUUGAAAGGUGAGGGAGUUAAAUCAAAAUUUUUAAAAAUUGUAUAGCCAUUUUCAAAUGUUCCAUAGUUUAUGUAAGCUUAAUACAAUUUCACCUUAAAAUGUACAAAGAUAGUAAAUCGUUUCAUGUGGUGAACAAUUAACCAUUUCCUACUUAAAUUUGGUUUCCUCCCAAGUUGAGUUUUUGAUACAUAUACUAAAAAAGAAAAUCAUUCUUUCGCCCUUUGUCCAUACAUAGUCACAAAUCUUAAUAUACUUACCCUUUUGAUACAAAUAUAACCCAUCCGAAACUUCGAACUGAUAAUUACAUGUCUUUAAAUAUCAUAUUUGUUAUUUUCUUGAUAUAGCUCGCUCGAUUGACAAUAUUUUAAAUUACAUAUUAUCAAGAAUCUAAAUAUGACAAAAAUUAAUUUAAUCAUUGAAAACUUCAAGAGAAAAAUUUUACAUCUUUAAGUUCUUUAUAUAUUUAAUGAGAAAACGGUAAAUUAUUUAUCACAUUUAAGAAAAUAAUAAAUGAUUCACCGUUUUUCAUGGAGCUUAACAUGAAAUGAUAGACGGUUAGUUUUCCAAAUAAAUUUUAGAUGGUUUCAUAUCAAAAUUUUCUCUACGGGUUAAAAAAAAAAAAAAAAAAAAAAAAACAUUACCCUACGGGUUAAUUGGACCUAUAUUUUUAUUUCACUAUUUAGUGGGCUUAAUUUGGGGUUUGAUUCAGCUCAACUGGUUUGUUGGUUACUGUAUUUGCUAAACCAAGCUACAGUUUUGAAAAAUUGCAGGACCAAACUGUAAAUAAGCUGUAACUCUUUGUUAUAACUUUGAUUUUGGCAUGUAAAAUAAUUUUUUCUUAUCCAAAAAAAAAUGUCUUUGAGAUAAAUAUUAUUUUAGGAAUAUUUAAUACCGAAUCACAAUGUAAUAUCUUGAAAAAAAAAUUCAAAUUAUAAGUAUACAGGUAAAUUUUAGCUUAAGUUCUACAUUAGAUUUCUAUAAAAAAAAAAAAAAAGAAAGAUGAUUUUAUUUAAAAGGAAAUGUGUAAUCUUAAAACGGUUGCGUACGUACGUAUACUUUAAAAAAACAAGACUAACUAAUUGUAUCAUUUCAUGAUAGUUUAAUCGUUAGUCCUUAUUACUUUAGAACUAUUGAAGCCUUCCUUUAAAUACUGUUAUAUCUCGUUGAAGCCUUACUUUAAAUACCGGUAUAUCUCUUUCAUCAGUAAUAAUAACUCGUUGAGUCAAAAUCACUAGCCCAAAAUACUUAAAUUCAGUUAUUAUAUUUAGCCCAAUCAAACUCAUAUAAUUCCAUAUUUAGUCAUAACUAUCCGAUGUGAGACUAUUAGGGUGUCAUGUACCCCCCCAUCUUAAAUUUGACCCCUCAACUAUUUUUUUUUUAAUUUUUCAUUUUUGGUAUUCACUGCAACCAUUUUUACUAUGGUCUUCAAUUAUAUAUUUUAUACCUGAUAUGAAACUUCAUCAUAACUUAACUGCUACAUUGAAUUGGUAAUCCAACUAAUAUAUUGUCUUGUUAGAUAAGAAGGUACUAUCUAGGCCCCUUAAAUUCGAUAGAAUCUACUAUUAAUUAGCAGUCUAAGCUUUAAAUAAGAUCAAGUUAAAAUGAUUAAUUAAAAGUUAUAGAAAUUGUUGAUCAUCGAAAUUAAACUAAGUUUAAGGGAUCUAUUUAAAUGGGCCUAUAGUUGUACGUGGAGAUCUCCGUACAUUUUUUUUUUAAAGUAUCGUUUAUUCAAACAAUGCUUUAAUAAUAUUGGUCCAAAAAAAAAAUUUUGUUACAAUACAAUUAUUUUAUAUACAUAAUAAUAAUAUGUAAUUAUUGGCUUACGAGUCACUCCAGGAGAAUCCUAUUGAAGUUGAAGGUCAAUAUAUUGAUAUAAUAUAGGAUAAGAUAAAUUAAUGUAGUAAAUAAUAUAUAAUAUAUAAUAAUAUAUAAUAUAACAUAAGCUUGUGUGUCUUAAUUUGAUUUGGUUUGGACAGUGGAGGUGGAAUGGUUGGGAAUCCUUUUCUUGCAAAGGGAGCCCAUAAAAGAAAGACUCUUUCUUGAGAUUAUUUAUUAGGUUAUUUUAAUAUAUGGGUUAAGAAUAUACCUAAAAACAUGACGUUGCAUUAAUAUUUUACGCUAAAAUAUUUGUAAAGGCCACUAGGGAUCACAAGUAAUUUGGCUAACCUAUAUAGUUCAGUAGAUUGAUGCAUUUUGAUAUGCAUAUUCAUUUUAUACCAUGCAUAUAGUAUUGUAAAAGGCAUUAUUGUUUUAUACAUGCAACAACAAUAGUUAUUAUAUAUUUAUAUUACAAUGAUAAUAUCAGAUAGUUGUACGUCACUACAUGUAGAAAUUAUUGCAUGCACGCAAUGCACCAUGUCAUCACGUACACCGCACGCACUACAACAUGGUGCAAUGCAUGAGGUGGUGACAUGGUGCGUCUUGUGCGUGGAAUAGUUUUUCAAUGUUGUUGCAUAAAAGGUUGUUUGAUCAUAGAAAACUAGUUAAGGGGCGGCGCACGAUGCGACGAGAAGAUAAUAUAAUAAUAAAUUAUUAUAAUUAUUAAUAUUAUUUUUUUAUUAUUUAUUAAUAUUUUUAAAUAUUAUUUAUCUCAGGAUUGAAUAAUUAAAAAGUAAACAAUAAAUUAAAGAAUAAAAUUAAAGUAUAUUUUUUUAAAAAAAUAUUUAAAUCUAAUAAGUAAAAUUAAUGAUAAUUUUCUAUUAUCCUCAAGGUAGAAUUAAAAAAAAUUAAAAAAAAAAAUAAGUAAAGUGAAAGUACUAUCUUUAGUAUUCUUGGCGGCAAUAUUUUUAUUGUGCCAUCAUUAACUUUUAUCGUUAUACAUACAACUAAGAAAAUAUUUGAUUUCUGAAUUUUAAAUUUAUGAAGAAAUUAGUAGAUAAUUAUCAGAAGUACAAAAAAUAAUACUAAUAAAAAAGCAUUCGAAAUUAAAAUGGAUAUUUUUUACACUAUACAAAAAUUCAACUACCAAAUAUUAUAUUAUUAUAUAAAUUAAUUCUUAAAAAAUUGUUUGUAAACUAAAGUAAAAAACAUGCAAAGUUUAGAAAUUAGGGACCAAAAAAAUAAGAGCAAAAAAUUGGGGCCCAAUAUGCAAUUAACUCUUAAAAAAUUGAUGUGGGUCUUACAAUCCCCCAAAAUAAGUAGGGGUUUUUUUUGA
rnacentral:lncRNA from 1 species